rnacentral:lncRNA from 1 species
GACCCGGAUCUGUGUUUCAACGAUCCCGAAGGUCCGCAAAAAAAUAUGGGACUUGAGCAUAUGCCCGGAAUUGAAUUCCGAGGUCCCUAGUCUUAGAAAAUAAUUUUUGAAGAAAAUUGUUGUGCUGGUUUUUAAAGGAAAUAAAGAAAUGAAUUAAUGUUUGAACUCGUUGGUAUCGGGCCCGUAUUUUGGUUCCGGAGUUUGGUACAAGUUUGUUAUGAUAUUUAAGUCCUAUUUGUGAAAUUUGGUGAGAAUCGGAAUUGAUUUGACGUGAUUUGGACGUUCGGUUGAAAAGUUAGAAAAUCAUAAGUUUUGAGGUUAAAUUCAUAGUUUUUGAUAUUAUUUUGAUGAUUUUAUCAUACGAUCAAGUCUGUAUGAUGUUUUUAGACUUGCGUGCAUAUUUGGUUUGGAGCCCCGAGGGCUUGGGUGAGUUUUGAAUAGGUUUAGGCUAUGUUGCGCUUGUUUUUGGAUGCUUCAUCGUCAAUUCUUCAAGCAAAAAUGAUACCAUAUUGAGAAAAUGAGAUCCAAAUUCAAUUUUUAUUGAACCAUUAGAUCCGUAUCGAAAUUACGGAGUCAUAGAAAAAAGAAUCAUCGAAUUUUUACAUUGUAUGAGGAAGUUAUGUUCAUUUUCGUGUCGGAAAAAAUUGUUGGUUUAUGGUGUUGUCGCAAAUGCGAACUUUUUCAUCGCAAUUGAAUGACCUGUUCACAAAUGCAAACUUUUUAUCACAACUGCGACUUUUGCCAGCCCUGCCUUGUUCGCAAUUGUGAGGGUUCGUAAAUGCGACAUCUGAGGUUUAUUAAGUGAGAUUUUUGACGGGAUUUUCACCCAUUUUUUAAUUUUCUCAAACCCUAAACCUCCAUAUGCGAUUUUCCAAAAACCCAAACUUCUCCAAAUCAUUGGUUAAAUGUCUCUAAUCAAUUUCCAACUAUAUUUUGUGAUUAUAUCUUAGAUUUAACAUCAAAUUCAUGAGAAUCUAAAGGAAAAUUUGGGGAAAAUUUGUAAAAUCUUUCAAAAAUGUAAAAUGAUGAUUUGGGGGACCAAAUGGUGUCGGAAUUAAAUAAUUUUCGUAUGGGUGAACUCGUAUCGGAAUGGGUAUUCAGUGUUUGUAAAUUUUGUCGGGUUCCAAGGUGCGGGCUCAGGGAGUUGACUUUUGUUGACUUUUUGCAAAUUGUAUAAAAAUCAUAGUUUUGUUAAUUGAAAUUGUUUUCUCUUGCAUGUUUGAUGUAUUCAAGUUGUUUUUGGCUAAAUUGAGCCGAGCAUUGAUGAAUUGGUAAAGGAAAAGCUAAAUUAUAUUGAAUUGGCCGGAUUGAGGUAAGUAUCAUGACUAACCUCAUGUGGGGGGGCUUCCCUUUAGGAUUUGAGUCUUCUAUUUUGAUUGUAGUCCGUGUACGCGAGAUGACGAGUGCAUGUUCGAACUUAUUUGUGAAAAGUUGGCCUUUUAGAGUUCUUAGGUCCCUGUAUUCACUGAGUAUGAAGUUGUUCUUGAUAUGAUUUAGCUUCCAUUUGCUAGUUUCACCUAUACAUGCAUUAAUUGGAAUUAACUGUUUUAUAAUUCAUUCUUAUUGCCUAUUUGACUCUUAUUUUGCUUAAUUGAAGAUUUUUACCUCUUCUAUUGUCAUGCUAUCUUUCAUAACUGCUUAUCUUUAUUGGAAACCAUUAUUAUCUCUCCUGUAAUUAUUUAGUCUUAACCGAGGUUAUGAUUAUCUUCCCGCUGCUCAUCCUUAAUUGAAAUUGUUGUAUAUUCUUCGUAAUUUGCCCAACCUUGAAAGAAGUUUAGGUAUCCUAUAUUUAGUUGACAUUUCCUUAUUUGAAAUUAUUUGAUUCGUGUUAGCUUCCUUGUUGUUGAACUACAUAUUGUGGGAUCGUUGCUUCACAUUAUUUUCUUCCUUGUUGAGAUGUUCUUAUUACGCUUAGUAUUCUCUAUUGUGGUUAUUCCUUGUGAUCUAGUUUUACUCUCUCCUUGUGAUCGAAAGUUCUCGAGUUGAUUUACUUGUCGUGUUCUUGUAUAUAUUGUCAUUGUUGCUAUGGUACUUGUUGUGGUGGUGCACGAGGUUUCUGCCGUGCGGUUGUUGAUAUUGUGAUGCACGAGGUUUCUGCCAUGCGGUUAUUGUUAUGGGGUUGCACGAGGUUUCUGUCGUGCUAUUGCUACUAUUGACAUAUUGCAAAUGCGGCGUGACAAGGCGGGAUAUGCAUAUAUAUAUGUGGGGGGGUUGCGCAUGCGGCGAGACAAGGUGCGCUAUGUCAGGGAUUGAUUAUGAUGAUUUGUGAUAGCCUGUGGGCAUUCUUUCUAUUUGAUAUUGUAUUGCGGUACGUUUACCUGUAUGAGUUUUAUCUUGUGGAAGUUGUGAGAAAACAUCUUACGUGUUGUCCGUUCUUUUCCUUAUGCUUAUUAGCUGGUAUGAACUAUGUUAAAGCACUUGUACAAGCAUACACGUAGUUGAACACUCUCAUUGGAUAUGAAGUUCUCCUGACAUUGCUGAGUAUAGAUGUACACCCUCGUCUACUUGUCAUAGAUAUGAGAGUAGCUCUAGUUAGUAAGUGAGUAUCAGCGUGACCAUGAGUUGUGAUAGGGGCACCGAAUGCCAAGUGUUAGGGUUUAGGUAUUGGGACCCGUGAGCUGUAUGUUGUCCGAGGUUUGGUAUUUCGUGGUGUCCGUUGGCUAAGACUUGAUGUGAACACUGUCGUAGGUUCUGAGUUAUUUCUUAUCUUUACUAUAUUUGUGAUUUAGGUUUUGGUGUGAUUUCGCUCGCUCUUCUAUGUCAUUAUUAUGGUAUUUCCGCUGUUACUUGUUGUUUUUCUUCCCUUACUGUGAUUGUUGUAUUGUUAGCCAUAGUGUGUAGUCUUUAUAUGUAUACAUCAUCUUCCGUUGAUCCUAUGCUUAUAUUUGUACAGUUUAUUAGACCAGUAGGUGUCUUGACUGUUCCUCGUCACUUCUCUACCGAGGUUAGUCUUGAUACUUACUGGGCACCGCUGUGGUGUGCUCAUGCUACUUUUUUGCACAUUUUUGUUGUCCAGAUCCAGGUGUGGAUCGUUAGUAGUUGUGCGUAUCAUUGCUGAGGAGACUCAAGGUAAACCUGUUGCUGCGUUCGCAGGCUUCAGAGUCACCUUCUUACUUGUAUUCAACUGUUUUCACUCUUUUCCAAAUAGUUUAUAUAGAAGUGGUAGCUAACUCUGUAGAGCUUAUGACUUGCACUAUCGGGUUUUGGGAAUAUGCUCAUUGUAUAAAAGAUUCAUUCCAG